AAUUUUAUAUUUAUAAAUUAAAUAUAUUAAAUUGCAAAUUUAAAGAUUUCUAUUAAGAAUAAAAUUU
rnacentral:tRNA from 1 species